rnacentral:rRNA from 1 species
AGAGUUUGAUCCUGGCUCAGGACGAACGCUGGCGGCGCGCCUAACACAUGCAAGUCGAACGGAGUCAAGAGGAGCUUGCUUUUCUUGACUUAGUGGCGAACGGGUGAGUAACGCGUGAGUAACCUGCCCUGGAGUGGGGGACAACAGUUGGAAACGACUGCUAAUACCGCAUAAGCCCACGGCCCGGCAUCGGGCUGCGGGAAAAGGAUUUAUUCGCUUCAGGAUGGACUCGCGUCCAAUUAGCUAGUUGGUGAGGUAACGGCCCACCAAGGCGACGAUUGGUAGCCGGACUGAGAGGUUGAACGGCCACAUUGGGACUGAGACACGGCCCAGACUCCUACGGGAGGCAGCAGUGGGGGAUAUUGCACAAUGGGGGAAACCCUGAUGCAGCGACGCCGCGUGGAGGAAGAAGGUUUUCGGAUUGUAAACUCCUGUCGUUAGGGACGAUAAUGACGGUACCUAACAAGAAAGCACCGGCUAACUACGUGCCAGCAGCCGCGGUAAAACGUAGGGUGCAAGCGUUGUCCGGAAUUACUGGGUGUAAAGGGAGCGCAGGCGGACCGGCAAGUUGGAAGUGAAAACUAUGGGCUCAACCCAUAAAUUGCUUUCAAAACUGCUGGCCUUGAGUAGUGCAGAGGUAGGUGGAAUUCCCGGUGUAGCGGUGGAAUGCGUAGAUAUCGGGAGGAACACCAGUGGCGAAGGCGACCUACUGGGCACCAACUGACGCUGAGGCUCGAAAGCAUGGGUAGCAAACAGGAUUAGAUACCCUGGUAGUCCACGCUGUAAACGAUGAUUACUAGGUGUGGGGGGUCUGACCCCCUCCGUGCCGCAGUUAACACAAUAAGUAAUCCACCUGGGGAGUACGGCCGCAAGGUUGAAACUCAAAGGAAUUGACGGGGGCCCGCACAAGCAGUGGAGUAUGUGGUUUAAUUCGAAGCAACGCGAAGAACCUUACCAGGUCUUGACAUCCGACUAACGAAGUAGAGAUACAUCAGGUGCCCUUCGGGGAAAGUCGAGACAGGUGGUGCAUGGUUGUCGUCAGCUCGUGUCGUGAGAUGUUGGGUUAAGUCCCGCAACGAGCGCAACCCUUAUUGUUAGUUGCUACCAUUUAGUUGAGCACUCUAGCGAGACUGCCCGGGUUAACCGGGAGGAAGGUGGGGAUGACGUCAAAUCAUCAUGCCCCUUAUGUCUAGGGCUACACACGUGCUACAAUGGCAAGUACAAAGAGAAGCAAGACCGCGAGGUGGAGCAAAACUCAAAAACUUGUCUCAGUUCGGAUUGUAGGCUGAAACUCGCCUACAUGAAGCUGGAGUUGCUAGUAAUCGCGAAUCAGCAUGUCGCGGUGAAUACGUUCCCGGGCCUUGCACACACCGCCCGUCA